GCCGCUGUGGUGGAAUAGGCAGACACAAGGGACUUAAAAUCCCUCGUUGGCGACAACGUACCGGUUCAAGUCCGGUCAGCGGCACCA
rnacentral:tRNA from 1 species